rnacentral:tRNA from 1 species
ACAGGGAGACAAACCUGAUCAUGAUGUCUGAGUACUUUAUUCUCAGGCCAUGGUCCUGUCACCUUAGGUCGAUCGGUACCUCAAGGAGUGAAUCAGAGAGUCUGAGCAAUCAGAGGAGACUGACUUUACUUUUUCAGUUCUUAAACGUUGUCUAGGUCACCCCAAAGCUCCUGGGCCAUUAGCUCAGGUGGUUAGAGCGCACCCCUGAUAAGGGUGAGGUCCUGGUUCAAGUCCAGGAUGGCCCAUGCAAAGCCUGCUGAGCAGGCAGGACUUGACAGCUGGGGGUUUAGCUCAGUUGGUAGAGCGCCUGCUUUGCAAGCAAGGAUGUCAGCGGGUUCGAGUCCGCUAACCUCCAUCGCAACGCAAAGCCCCACAAGCGCAAGCCAGUGAGGAGAGAGGGAGUGAACCAGACAGGGAAGGAGAGAAUGGAUCCGAGGGAAAGGGAUCCAUCAGCUGAGGAAGACUCCAGCCUUCAGGAUUGAUGGAGCCUCUGAAAGGCGCCAUGAGUUUUGAAUGCUGGACUCACAUUUCAUCAUGGUCAAGCUGUGAUGGGAUGAGAUGUUCAGCGAAGAACCUUGACAACUGCAUAGGUGAGUCUGGAAAGAAAGCAUCUCAUGGAUGCCAAUUGUUCAGCGCUGAUCAGUCUGGGAGACCAGGUUGAUGGCAAUGGGGAAUUGGAGAUUCUAUGACGUUAAGAGCCGAGACUUUCCAGUGUUCUUCCAAGGACUGGCCAAUCCAGCCAGACUGCGGGAGUUUGAUUCUGUGAUUCAAACCACAAGCGACGAUCAAGACGCCCCUUGGGGUGAAUUCAUGGUGGCGAGCAGGUGAAUGCAGAAGAAGCGGCCACAACAGCCGCAC